rnacentral:rRNA from 1 species
UACGUAGGUGACAAGCGUUGUCCGGAUUUACUGGGCGUAAAGAGCGCGCAGGCGGUCGAUCAAGUCGAGUGUGAAAGCCCCCGGCUCAACUGGGGAGGGUCAUUCGAUACUGAUCGACUCGAAGGCAGGAGAGGGUAGUGGAAUUCCCGGUGUAGUGGUGAAAUGCGUAGAUAUCGGAAGGAACAUCAGUGGCGAAGGCGACUUCCUGGACCAAUACUGACGCUCAGGUGCGAAAGCGUGGGGAGCAAACAGG